rnacentral:rRNA from 1 species
UAGGGAAUCUUCGGCAAUGGACGAAAGUCUGACCGAGCAACGCCGCGUGAGUGAAGAAGGUUUUCGGAUCGUAAAACUCUGUUGUUAGAGAAGAACAAGGACGUUAGUAACUGAACGUCCCCUGACGGUAUCUAACCAGAAAGCCACGGCUAACUACGUGCCAGCAGCCGCGGUAAUACGGAGGUGGCAAGCGUUGUCCGGAUUUAUUGGGCGUAAAGCGAGCGCAGGCGGUUUCUUAAGUCUGAUGUGAAAGCCCCCGGCUCAACCGGGGAGGGUCAUUGGAAACGGGGAGACUUGAGUGCAGAAGAGGAGAGUGGAAUUCCAUGUGUAGCGGUGAAAUGCGUAGAUAUAUGGAGGAACACCAGUGGCGAAGGCGGCUCUCUGGUCUGUAACUGACGCUGAGGCUAGAAAGCGUGGAGAGCAAACAGG